rnacentral:rRNA from 1 species
AACGAACGCUGGCGGCGUGGAUAAGACAUGCAAGUCGAACGCUCAUUCAUCUGCAGCAAUGUGGGUGAGUGGGAGUGGGCGCAAGGGUGCGUAACACGUGGGUAAUUUGCCGCGAAGUUGGGGAUAACUCGCUGAAAGGCGAGCUAAUACCGGAUGGGUUGGUGUGGCAUCAUUGGCCAACCAAAGUUGGGACCCGCAAGGGCCUGACGCUUCGCGAUAACGCCCGCGGCCUAUCAGCUAGUUGGUGAGGU